rnacentral:lncRNA from 1 species
AGAGGUUGAAUCAUGCCUUAAUCGAGGACUCAGAGAUUGCUGCCUUCUUGAUUUUAGGAUUUUGAGGUAGCUCUGAUGGGUCUGCCUCCUCUCCGGGCUUCAUGGGGGUGCCUGUAGUUGUUCUAGUGGCAGCGACGGCUGUGAAGCUGGAUUCAUUAGGGGUGCCACCGAUGGAGGUGUAGGGGCCACUUGAUCAGGCUGCGGCACCACCAAUGGAAGCACAGGGACGAUCUAGAUUGCAUGGACAAUGGCCGUCAAAGUCUAGACCUACUGGAAGAGUAGGUUGAAUUGAUCCACUAUGACCAACGUCGAUUGGGCAGAUGGAGGAG